ACGCUAUCUGGAGGUUACCGCGGCUGCUGGCACGGAGUUAGCCGGUGCUUCUUCUGUGAGUGAUGUCCUUCCUGCCGGCUAUUAACCCGCAGGUCCUUCUUCCUCAACUGAAAGUGCUUUACAACCCGAAGGCCUUCUUCACACACGCGGCAGUGGCUGGAUCAGGGUUCGCCCCCAUUGUACCAACUAUUCCCCACUGCUGCCUCCCGUAGGAGUCUGGGCCGUGUCUCAGUCCCAGUGUGGCUGAUCAUCCUCUCAGACCAGCUACGGAUCGUCGCCUUGGUGAGCCGUUACCUCACCAACCAGCUAAUCC
rnacentral:rRNA from 1 species